GCUGAGGUCGCAUAGCCCGGUUAUUGCGGCAGGUUGCUAACCUGUUUGGCCCUUGGGUCAUCGGGAGUUCAAAUCUCCCCCUCGGCG
rnacentral:tRNA from 1 species